rnacentral:rRNA from 1 species
CCCUUAGAUGUUCUGGGCGGCCCGCGCACUACAUUGGCACUCUCAAUAAGUUCCUAGAUCUAAAACUUUGGGGUAUUCUACUAAGUGGUGUCGUGACUGGGAUUAACCCUUGCAAUUAUUGGUUACGAACGAGGAAUUCCUUGUAAUCGCGGUUUAUCAGCCCGCGUUGAAUGCGUCCCUGCCCUUUGUACACACCGCCCGUCGCUCCUACCGAUGAAUCGUCCGGUGAAGUUCAUGGAGUGGUGGUUGUUCCAGCUGCUGUCGAAGUGAAAUGGACCUCACGAUUUAGAGGAAGGAGAAGUCGUAACA